rnacentral:lncRNA from 1 species
CCACAGAAACAGCCAGAAAUGUGGAGCUGGGCGAUCGUAUGAGGCUGAGACAAAACUGUCUUUCUAGCGUCUCUAGGGGAGAGCUUGAAUCCCUCCUUCCACUCCUCCUCCACGGAAAACAGAGUGAACUCCUGCUACAGAGGCCGCCAGAGCAACAUGCAAGACCAGCUUUGAGGGGAGCGGGCACAGGGCCUUGCAGGGAAGGUGGGCCGAGCCCAGACCCCUCAUUCUUACUUGGCUCUGAAGGCGGAAAGGCAAAGCUAGACCUCGAGGAAGUUCCCCUCCCUGUGGGCCCUACAGUGAAGAUUACAUGAAGGCAUGUGGGCGGUGGACCAGAGUGCACCGACUGAUGAAGGCGGCCCGGUACCCGCGGGUGCCAUGCCUCCUUCUUAGCCAAGGCCACUCUAGCUCCCCGUGAAGUAUCCAGGUAGAAGGCUGGUGGGGUUACAGGUGAGAAGCCGUCGGUGGGGUCCAGGAGCCAGGCCUGGGGAAGCACACGUCACUUCCACCCACAUCCAUGGGCCAGAAGUAGUCGCACAGUCCCACCAGGAUGCAAGGGGCUCUGGCAGCUGUGGUCUUCAUGAGUGUUUCGGAAGUAAACAAAGCCGGUUUGAUGAACACGUAGAAACAUCCCUGCCACAGAAACUGAGCAGAUUUCUCCCAAGCACACACAGGGCAAAGGGGCAAAGUCUGUCCACAGACUCACAGGAAGGGAGGUGCAUGGCAGACACAGGCAGGAGGUGGGGUUGGGGUGGAAAAGUUCAGGGAGGGCUCAAAAGCAGACCAAGGCCUGUUUCUGAAACCCAGCCCACUCACUGGUUCCUCCACACUUGGCCCAUGCUGUUCCUCUCCCAUGUGACUUUUCCAUCUUCCCCCUCCAACCUGUCACCCAUCCAUCCUUCAAAACUUAGGUCAGUUAGCUCUCACCUAGCCCUCAGCAGCUUAGCCCGCAGAUGCUUCCUCUGUUUCUGAACUUCUAGAGAAACACACUUAACCGCAGACCUCUUAUUCCAGGAGUGUAUCUCUCUCAGAUGAGAUACAAGUUGGUCCCUUCCCUUGCGUCCCUCCUGUUCCUUCAAGAGGAGGACUGUCUACCCACCCCGAAGCUUCAUGGAGAGAGAGCACACCGUCGUUAUUCAAUAUGUAGUUUUGAAUUUAACUAGAGCAAAGAAGAAAGCAAAUUCAGGUGGAAGGAAGAAGAAAAGGGAAAAGGGCUGUCCCCAUCCUUCUAAGGAGAUGGUGCAGUGGCUCACCUUUGGGAGGCCGAGG